CCUACAACAGCUUUCUCCAGCCUGACCUCUUCUUGAUGGAUACAGUACAUGAGCUGCACCUGCCUCAUCUCCAUCCAGAAUACAGGCUGGAGAAGGCUACUAAUGCACUGAAAGAAUAUGGGCACUAGAUGGCAGAAUAUCUUAAAAUAAAACAAAACAAAAAAUGAACCUUGAGGAACCCAAACAGAUUUUUGACUUUAAUACAACCUUGCCAAUCAAGCAAUGAUGGCAACUAUUCUCAACUAUCCGCUUGCCACGCCCACCAUCAUGCCCACCUGAGUCAACAGGGAUCCAGGAUGCUGGGAUGUUGGAAUGUCAUAGACGUCGUUUCUUUUCUCUGGAGCUGAUGCCCAAAUUGCUCUCGGAAGAGUGAAGAGGUGCUUGGGAGAAG